rnacentral:lncRNA from 1 species
UCCCUCUCCCUCCCCUCCCUCUCCCUCUCCUCCCUCUCCCUCUCCCUCUCCCCACGGUCUCCCUCUCCCCCUCCCUCUCCCUCUCCCCACGGUCUCCCUCUCCCCCUCCCUCUCCCUCUCCCUCUCCCCGCGGUCUCCCUCUCCCCCUCCCUCUCCCCACGGUCUCCCUCUCCCUUUCCCCACUGUCUCCCUCUCCCUCUCCCUCUCCCUCUCUCUCCACGGUCUCCCUCUGAUGCCGAGCCGAAGCUGGACUGUACUGCCACCAUCUCAGCUCACUGCAACCUCCCUGCCUGAUUCUCCUGUCUCAGCCUGCCCAGUGCCUAGGAUUGCAGGCGCGCGCCGCCACGCCUGAUUGGUUUUCCUAUUUUUUUGGUGGAGACGGGGUUUCGCUGUGUUGGCCGGGCUGGUCUCCAGCUCCUAACCGCGAGUGAUCUGCCAGCCUCGGCCUCCCGAGGUGCUGGGAUUGCAGACGGAGUCUCAAUCACUCAGUGCUCAAUGUUGCCCAGGCUGGAGUGCAGUGGCGUGAUCUCGGCUGGCUACAACCUCCACCUUCCAGCUGCCUGCCUUGGCCUCCCAAAGUGCCGAGAUUGCAGCCUCUGCCCGGCUGCCACCCCGUCUGGGAAGUGAGGAGCGUCUCUGCCUGGCCGCCCAUUGUCUGGGAUGUGAGGAGCCCCUCUGCCUGGCCGCCCAGUCUGGGAAGUGAGGAGCGCCUCUUCCCGGCCGCCAUCCCAUCUAGGAAGUGAGGAGCAUCUCUGCCGGGCCGCCCAUCGUCUGAGAUGUGGGGAGCGCCUCUGCCCCGCCGCCACGUCUGGGAUGUGAGGAGCGCCUCUGCCCAGCCGCGACCCCGUCUGGGAGGUGAGGAGCGUCUCUGCCCGGCCGCCCCGUCUGAGAAGUGAAGAGCCCCUCCGCCCGGCAGCCGCCCCGUCUGGGAAGUGAGGAGCAUCUCCGCCCGGCAGCCGCCCCGUCAGGGAGGGAGGUGGGGGGGCAGCCCCCGCCCGGCCAGCCGCCCUGUCCGGGAGGUGAGGGGCACCUCCGCCCGGCAGCCCCGACUGGGAAGUGAGGAGCCCCUCUGCCCGGCAGCCACCCCGUCUGGGAGGUGAACCCAACAGCUCAUUGAGAACCGGCCAUGAUGACGAUGGCGGUUUUGUCGAAUAGAAAGGGGGAAAUGUGGGGAAAAGAUAGAGAAAUCAGAUUGUUGCUGUGUCUGUGUAGAGGGAAGUAGACAGGGGAGACUCCAUUUUGUUCUGUACUAAGAAAAAUUCUUCUGCCUUGGGAUGCUGUUAAUCUAUAACCUUACCCCCAACCCCGUGCUCUCUGAAACAUGUGCUGUGUCCACUCAGGGUUAAAUGGAUUAAGGGCGGUGCACCAUGUGCUUUGUUAAACAGAUGCUUGAAGGCAGCAUGCUCGUUAAGAGUCAUCACCACUCCCUAAUCUCAAGUACCCAGGGACACAAACACUGCGGAAGGCCGCGGGGUCCUCUGCCUAGGAAAACCAGAGACCCUUGUUCACUUGUUUAUCUGCUGACCUUCCCUCCACUAUUGUCCUAUGACCCUGCCAAAUCCCCCUCUCCGAGAAACACCCAAGAAUGAUCAAUAAAUACUAAAAAAAAAAAAAAAGAAAAAGAAAAAGGAAACAUCCAUGCCACCUCCUUUCAUGGGUAGAAGGUAGAAGCUGAAAAAGUCUUCUGGGUAUGGAAACUCACGAAUACCUCGAGGCCAACUUGGUUCAGGGUUGCUGCCUAAAAAACUCUGGGUGAGGUCCUGAGUUGAAAACAAAACAUCUCUGCUUGUGUUCAAUUUUCAAAUUCUUUUGAGGGUGAGGCCUGAGAAGUCGCAAACAUCUUAAAAAGCAGAACUCACUAGUAAAGGCAAAUAAAUGCCAUAAAUGUCACAAUUGAUGACACGUUCCCUACCAUCCAUCACACACACAAGAAUGUUUUUUCUGUGUAUCCACGACUUGUUUUCAGACUGGGGGCUCCUCAAGAAUAGGGACUGUGUCUGGUUUUUCUUGCUUGGCUCAAAACCCAAUACAGAUUGGAGGAAAGAUCCGAGAGCCUGCCAUUGCAAGCCUAAAGAAGAGAAGACUGAAGGAUAAAAGUGUUCAUACCUGUGAGUGAUUUUUGUAGAGACAGUGCAGAACAGUUCAUCACUUGAGAUUCAGUCCAAAUGAGAUAAAAAGUGAGUAAUCCUGGAGCCAGGAAACCUGAGUUUAACUCCCUCACCCCCCACCCCUCCCUGCCACUUACCGUUAAGGAGGUUUGGGGACAAUUUAUUUAACUUCUCUGAACUUCAGUCUUUGCAUUUCUAAGACAGGAUGGUUCUCCUACCUCACAGAGGUGAUGUGAAGAUCAAAAGAAUCCACAUAUGUGACAGCAGCUCAAAGUGCCCCACAAAUAUGUCACAAGUCUCCGGUCAGUUACCCUAUCCCUUGGGAAGCUUUCCAGGAUCUGCACAGGCUGAAUGAGAUCCCUUCUCUGGACUCUGCCCGAAAGCAUUCCUUUAUUGUAGCACUUAGCAUGUUGCACUGUAAUUGCUGGUUUUCUUGUCCUUGAGGGUAAGAACUAUGUCAUUCACUUCUGUUGGUUGGCUGCCUCUGUUCCCAAAAGAAUUCCCAGCACCAUACUAGACAGUUACUAAAGGAAUCCUAGGCCAGGUGCAGUGGCUCAUACCUGUAAUCCCAGCACUCUGGGAGGCCAAGGUGGGUGGAUCACAAGGUCAGGAGUUCGAGAUCAGCCUGGCCAUCAUAGUGAAACCCUGUCUCUACUAAAAAUACAAAAAUUAGCCGGGUGUGGUGGCACGCGCCUAUAGUCCCAGCUACUCAGGAGGCUGAGGCAGGAGAAUUGCUUGAGCCUGGGAGGCGGAGGUUGCAGUGAGC